CGGCGGCGCGCGCGGAAGACGGACGGCCCGGGCGGCGGGCGCGGCGGAGGCUCCUCCCGGCUCCCCGUCCCGCGCUCCGCAAGGGGCGCGGGGCUCUGAUGCGGGGGCGGAGGGGCUCUGCUCGGGGCUGGGCUGGGCUGACCCGCUCCGGCGCCGGGGACCACGCGCGACUGGUUAGAUCUUGUCGUGAUCUCUGGAAAACUGUGACUAUCUCACAUGCCCUGCCCUGCUCCGAUCCCCUGCGCUAACGAGCCAGGCCCCCCUUGAUUGCUGAUUUUACGCUUUUUGGACCAAUUGUGGGUCUCCGGGGGCGGGGUUUUGACAGCUCAGGCCAAGCUCCGGCCGGGAGGGGGGGCCGGGGAGAAGGUGUCGGAAGCCUCAGCAGUAAGAAAACAUGUCAACGGAAUAAAAUAUUAACCAAUGACGGCCCGACGGGCCUGAGACCCCUCCCCCUGGCCGGGCCCCCACCCCGCGCCCGCGCCCGCGCCCGCGCCCGCGGCUGCUAGCGCCGGGACUUGGAAGCGUGGAGGGCCGACCUGACCCGCCGAAAGGGCCGAGGCGGGGGGCGCCAGGGCCGAGGGCCUCAGGGAAGGACCCCUAGCCGCGUGCCGGCCCCAAGUGCAAAGCACUGACACGUCCCUGAGAGGAGAGGGGGCGCCCUCCUUCUCCCGCGCCCGGAAGCCCGGCUGCUCCGGCCGGCGCCCCAGCCUGGCCUCCGACUCGGCUCCUGGUCGCCGCCCGGGUCCCCGCACUCCACAGGGAGGCUGCGGGCGCAGGAAAGCGAGGCCAGUGGGCGGGCAAGUCGGGAGGCUCCGGAGGCUGAGGUCCCGGAGCGGAACCCAGGUGGCGGGAGCUGGGGCCACGUGGUCAUUCAACAAACGGUCCCAGUGGCAAGCUGGGGAUAGAAGCUCGAGAGGAAGAGACCCACGGUUCUGGAACCACGGCUUGCCCGUUCUUCUCCAGCUGGUGAGGGAUGUAGCAGAAGCCUAUGGACAGCCUGGCUGCUGCCACCAGGCAGAGUGCACGGGGCCACUGAGGGAGUCAUUGGGAGAAGAAGCCCAAGGCAUUCUCAACCCAGGGGUACAAGCAGAGCUGGACCAACCUCAAACUGGAGUUUUACUGAAGGAGACAAUGGAAGGGUACCAGGGGCAAAGAGUAUCAGGAGAUCCCGGGAACUGGAUAAAACAACCUGCCUGGAAUGGCACAGAGCGCUGGUCUCUUACAGAGAGCUGGUGCCAUGGUGAGGCUGAGUGGCAUUCUGAGAUGGAAGGAGAAGGUUACAGUGGGCAAGGCCCUGCCCCAGGUGGGGGGUUGCAAUUCACGUUGCCCUGUGCUUACUCCAAAUGAGGAGGGACAGAGCAGCUAUCGUUCCUGAGAGAGGUAGGUGGGCACGCGCGCGCGUGUAUGUGUGUGUGUGUGUGUGUGUGUGUGUGUGUGUGUGUGUGUAUCAGAGCCGAGCUCAGAAAAUCCUGUCUGUGGUGGCAAACAAGAGGCUACAGUGACAUCUCCACUCUUUGCCAUGGCUGCCAAGUUUCUUGGCCCCUGCCCACUUUUCCAGACUCAUCUUCCUCCGCUCUUGGCAAAUCAUAUGGAUCCUCCUUCUGUUUGUUCAAAGUACGGUGCUUCCUUUAGCCUCUGGGCCUUCACAGCUUUGCCUUGCUUAUUCUGUGAUCAUAGCUUAGAUAGAAUUUCCUCCAGGAAGCCGUCUCUGAUCCUCUCCUAGUUUGGGUCAGUGCCCCUAACCUACCCUGUUCAGAACAUCAAACACUCCACUGUUGCCUCUGCUGUGUUUGCUUCCUCUUCUAGAGUGUAAGUCCCUCGAGGGCAGACAGGUCAUCUGUUCCCUAUGGCAGCCUUAAAGCUUAGGAUCUGCCUUUUUAAAAUCUACUUAUUGGUCCCAGAGAAUUAAGGUUGUCAGAGUACACAGAGAGAUGAUGUCCUCUUAGCCCCAAGCAGCUGGGGCUAAGAGGGAUUCUGCCCUGGAUCACCGGCCUCAGGUUUCAGAAUGUGUGGCUCUAGCCCUCAGCACAGGUUUCUCUUUUUUGGGGGGGGGGGCGCAGUUUACCGGAGAUCGAACUCAGGUCCUUGCACUUUCGAGGCAGGCGGCAGAACCACUGAGCUAAAUCCCCAGCCCCAAGGUUUCUCAAUCAAGAGGCCCAUGUCUCUGGCAAAGGAGAAGCAACUGGCAAGAAGUUGGCCACUUAAGACCAAGGGAGUUAAGGUUGGAGGAUGACUUGAGCAGUGUCCUCUAAGCCCAGAGGGUUUGCAUGUUGCAUUACGGUUCAGUGAGGCUGCUCUUAGGCCCUCUCACUAGCAGGCUCUCUCAGAUUGGAGUUCUGUGCCAGUCUGCCUGCACCUCUGCGUGCUCCUGGGCUCCUGGCCCUAGUUACCCUGCUCACUGACCUUCCUCCUGACUCUCGCCUGACUUAGUCUGCCCAGAACUUCUUGCCAACCGCUCUUCAUCUGGCAGAUAUGGAAGCCUGCGCCCAGCCAGGCCCCAGUCCUGCCAGGACAACCUGACCUCACCAACCAGGCACCACACACAGCACUGGACUUCGUAGAAGGAGAAGCAAGGAGGGGUGAGGGCAGGAGAGGGUACCCCAUGGAGGCUGAAUUGAGCACAGAACACUGAUACAGAUUUGCUUUUCUCUUUCUAGGCAAAAUGCCCAACUGGCACUGUUUUCAGAAAAAUUAAGCUGCUUUUGACUUAGAGGAUAAUCACAAGUUCCUGGAGGAUAAUAUUGAGAAGGGAAUCUGUCAGGAGAGGAUCUGAUCACACUCAGAUCUCACGCACAGCAUGGCAGUGGGAUAUUAGUUAUCUUGCCAUCCUGUUGUUUGGCACAAACCCUUGGAUAUACAGUGGUACCUCAGUUCACAAAAUCAGUUUGUCUUAUGAUUUUAGGGAAGAUGGCUGUGUUUGUGUUUGUGUGGGGAAGAUGUCUGUGGCUGUGUCUGUCACCCAAUGUGGGGUUUGUGAACAGAAGCAAAAUUUUGCCAAAUGCUUUUGUUUGCGAACUGAAUUGUUAGCGAAUAAAAGUAUUUUGAACAGAGGUACCAUUGUACUUCCUCCACCAUUACUUCUUUUUUUUUUUUUUGGUACCGGAGAUCGAACUCGGGUCCUUGUGCUUGCACAGCAGGCGGCGAAACCACUGAGCUAAAUCCCCGGCCGCUCAACCAGUACUUCUUAACUAGGGCUACACCAACUAGGGAGCUUUUCAAAUAUAUGGAGCUGUGGGGCCUACUCAGGCCACAGUCAGAAUUUCUGGGGGAUAAGAUUGGGGCCUGGGUAUCUGGCUGUUCUCGGGGAGGUUCAUGGCGGAGAGAGCUGACAGAGGCAUUUGGCAUCAACCUUCCACUAACUGCUGAUCCUCUCUGCUUUGGCCCAACACCCUAGUUCAUGACUUCCAUCAUGGCCAACCACGUGCAUAUAUCUGGUUAUUGCAUUUCUGCCAAUUGUUGCUGUGACCUAAGGAUGUUCUUAGACUCAAAAGUUCCUUAAAAUUAAAAUGCCAGCCAGGUGUGGUGGUGCACACCUGUAAUCCCAGCACUCAGGAGCCUGAGGCAGGAGGAUUGUCAAGAGUUCCAAGGCCAGCCUGGGCUACUAAUAGUGAGUUCAAGACCAGCCUGAAUUACAUAAUGAGACCCUGUCUGAAAAACAAACGAACAAACAAAACAACAACAACAAAGCAAAACAAAAAUGCCAUAUUAUUUCCAUUUAAGACUCAUCAAAGUCAUUUCUGAAAAGGAAAGUCCAUUUAUGUCCUAUUACUAGCUGCAAAGUUUAAGAUAUUCUGGGGUUCACAAAGAAUGACUAUUUAUAUCUAGAUGGGUCUCAGAGGGCUGAGAGUAGGUAAACAAUCGUCUCUUGUUUGGAGGGAACAUGAUGCAGAGCUGUGGCUCUGGAUCAAGCAUGUUUCUCACUGCAGCUUUUCACCAGCAUACUUUACAGGUUCUACAGAAGGGCUGCUGGACCCUAGAGGAAGCAGCAUGAUGUUGUGUGCAAAGGACUGGACUUGGAGUCAGAAAACCUGAGUCCACCACCAGUGAGCUGAGUGUCACUGAACAACACUCUGCCUCUGCAAGCUUCAGUGUCCUCCUGUGUAAAGUGGGCAUAAUGCUAUUGACCUCCCUUAAAAGGCUGUUGGAAGAACAAAAUAAAAUAGAAAGUGUACAUGCACUCAGGCUCUGUGGAGAUUCUAAAGUGAUGCACUUUUGGGAAAUAUGAGGCUCUGUUUUAAGGACACUGCCUACUCAGCAGCUGUCUCCUGUAGUGGCUGAUUUCUCUCCCUCCUCUCUCAGGCCCUGCAGUGGAGUCAGUGUUCUUGGUUUUUAUAG
rnacentral:lncRNA from 1 species